UACAUCACAAGAAAAUGUCUGAUAUUAAUUUGCUUCAAAAGUUCUCUGCCAAUUUCUCUCAUAUGCCUACCUGAAUAUGGUCUGUAGACUCAAGAAGACAGCCUGUGAUGGGAAUAAUUAACAUGCUGGGCACAAGCAAGUCAUUUGAUCGAGUAGAGUUAGCCUCUAAUGCCCUCCACUGCUGACCCUCAGCUCCUCUUUUAGGAAGAGUAACCGCAUCCCCACUGUGGGUUCCACCCCUUCAUGUUUACAUAUU
rnacentral:lncRNA from 1 species